rnacentral:rRNA from 1 species
GACGAACGCUGGCGGCGUGCCUAAUACAUGCAAGUCGAGCGGGUUUAUCCUUCGGGGUAAGCUAGCGGCGGACGGGUGAGUAACACGUAGGCAACCUGCCUUCAAGAUCGGGAUAACUAUCGGAAACGAUAGCUAAGACCGGAUAGCUGGUUUUCUCGCAUGAGAGAAGCAUGAAACACGGAGCAAUCUGUGGCUUGCAGAUGGGUCUGCGGCGCAUUAGCUAGUUGGUGAGGUAACGGCUCACCAAGGCGACGAUCGGUAGCUGGUCUGAGAGGACGGUCAGCGACCCUGGGACGAAGACACGGCCCAGAGUCCGACGGGAGGCAGCAGUGGGGAAUGGUGCGCGAUGGGCGAAAGCCUGCGGCAGCGACGCCGCGUGCGGGAAGAAGGCCUUCGGGUUGUAAACCGCUUUCAGGAGGGACGAAGCCACUCGGGUUAAUAGCCCAGAGGGUGACGGUACCUCCAGAAGAAGCCCCGGCUAACUACGUGCCAGCCGCCGCCGUAAUAC